rnacentral:rRNA from 1 species
UGAGUACGAGACGCUAAGGCGUCGAAGUAGUGGAUGUCAUACUUCCAAGAAAAGCUUGCACUGUCAUAAAUAAAGAAUGCCAGUACCAUAACCGACACAGGUGGGUAAGUAGAGUAUACUAAGGGGCGCGAGAUAACUCUCUCUAAGGAACUCGGCAAAAUAACUCCGUAACUUCGGGCGAAGGAGUGCCUUAUUCUUAAGGUUGCAAUAACAAGAUCCAAGCAACUGUUUAUCAAAAACACAGGUCUCCGCUAAGUCGUAAGACGAUGUAUGGGGGCUGACGCCUGCCCAGUGCCAGAAGGUUAAAGAAGUCGGUUAGCAAUAGCAAAGCUGGUAACUGAAGCCCUGGUGAACGGCGGCCGUAACGAUAACGGUCCUAAGGUAGCGAAAUUCCUUGUCGGGUAAGUUCCGACCCGCACGAAAGGCGUAAUGAUUUGGAUGCUGUCUCGGAGAGGGGCUCGGUGAAAUAGACUUGUCUGUGAAGAUGCGGACUACCUGCACCAGGACAGAAAGACCCUAUGAAGCUUUACUGUAACUUGAAAUUGAAAUUGGACUUUAUUCGCGCAGUAUAGGUGGGAGGCGUUGAUUAUAAUCUUGUGGGAUUAUUGGAGCCAUCAGUGAGAUACCACUCUUGUAAUGUUAGAUUUCUAACUUUGAAUCAUUAUCUGGUCAAAGGACAGUUUCAGGCGGGCAGUUUGACUGGGGCGGUCGCCUCCUAAACGGUAACGGAGGCGUACAAAGGUUUCCUCUGAACGGUUAGAAAUCGUAUCUAGAGUGUAAAGGCAUAAGGAAGCUUGACUGUGAGACCUACAAGUCGAGCAGGGACGAAAGUCGGUCUUAGUGAUCUGACGGUACUGAGUGGAAAGGCCGUCACUCAACGGAUAAAAGUUACUCUAGGAUAACAGGCUGAUCUCCCCCAAGAGUUCACAUCGACGGGGAGGUUUGGCACCUCGAUGUCGGCUCAUCGCAUCCUGGGGCGGUAGUACGUCCCAAGGGUUGGGCUGUUCGCCCAUGAAAGCGGUACGCGAGCUGGGUUCAGAACGUCGUGAGACAGUUCGGUCCAUAUCCGGUGUAGGCGCUAGAAUAUUGAGAGGAGCCUUCUUUAGUACGAGAGGACCGAGAAGGACAUACCUCUGGUGUACCAGUUAUCGUGCCAACGGUAAACGCUGGGUAGCUAUGUAUGGAGUGGAUAACCGCUGAAAGCAUCUAAGUGGGAAGCCCACCUCAAGAUAAGUAUUCUCAUCACGUAAGUGAGUAAGGUCACGGUAAGACUAACCGUUUGAUAGGCAUUAAGUGUAAGUACAGUAAUGUAUGUGCUGAGAUGUCAUAAUAGACCGAGGACUC